rnacentral:rRNA from 1 species
AUUGAACGCUGGCGGCAGGCCUAACACAUGCAAGUCGAGCGGAUGAGAGGAGCUUGCUUCUCGAUUCAGCGGCGGACGGGUGAGUAAUGCCUAGGAAUCUGCCUGGUAGUGGGGGACAACGUUUCGAAAGGAACGCUAAUACCGCAUACGUCCUACGGGAGAAAGCAGGGGACCUUCGGGCCUUGCGCUAUCAGAUGAGCCUAGGUCGGAUUAGCUAGUUGGUGAGGUAAUGGCUCACCAAGGCGACGAUCCGUAACUGGUCUGAGAGGAUGAUCAGUAACACUGGAACUGAGACAGGGUCCAGACUCCUACGGGAGGCAGCAGUGGGGAAUAUUGGACAAUGGGCGAAAGCCUGAUCCAGCCAUGCCGCGUGUGUGAAGAAGGUCUUCGGAUUGUAAAGCACUUUAAGUUGGGAGGAAGGGUUGUAGAUUAAUACUCUGCAAUUUUGACGUUACCGACAGAAUAAGCACCGGCUAACUCUGUGCCAGCCGCCGCCGUAAUAC